UACAGAGGGGGCAAGCGUUAUUCGGAAUUAUUGGGCGUAAAGGGCGCGUAGGCGGCCUGGCAAGUGGAAGGUGAAAUCCCUCGGCUUAACCGAGGAACUGCCUCCCAAACUGCUUGGCUUGAGACCGGGAGAGGUGAGUGGAAUUCCCAGUGUAGCGGUGAAAUGCGUAGAUAUUGGGAGGAACACCAGUGGCGAAGGCGGCUCACUGGACCGGUACUGACGCUGAUGCGCGAAAGCGUCGGGG
rnacentral:rRNA from 1 species